ensembl:snRNA U6 U6 spliceosomal RNA
GUGUUCGCUUCGGCAGCACAUACUAAAUUGGAACAAAACAGAAAAGAUUAGCAUGGCCCCUGUGCAAGGAUGACACACAUAUUUGUGAAGCAUUCCAUAUUUUU